rnacentral:lncRNA from 1 species
CCAGCUCCGCAAUAUUUCUCUAUUCACUUCUUUAUUUUUCUCCUACUUUCUGAACUUAAGAAAAUUUGAUCUGAGAAUGGCCAAGAUUGCAAGAGUACUAAGAUUAGUUGCAACAGAAGUUGCUCCACCAAGAUUUGUACAUGUGGUUAAACGCCCAACUAGUAAGGUUUUGGCUACCAUCAAUGAAGAGGAGGCUUGCGCCUGAAACCUUAUCAAGCAUCUUUUUGUCCUAUGGUUUUCUACCUUUUUUCUGCAUUUUUCAGAAGUAUCUAUUAUAGUUUACAGCAUGUGUGCCACAAAUACAUUCUGGCUAUGCUUGCUUCUUAGCUCUAAUAUUCACCCCAUUUUUCAAUAUUUUUUUUUAAUUCUUUUCUUUUGCUUUUCCGCUUGGUGCUCGGUAUCUGCUUUGGAAGCACUCUAUACCAGAAUUUUUUUUCCAAGUGAGAGAGGUAGAGUAUAAAUGGCUGCCAUGUCAGUUAAUAAUAGCAUUGAAGAAUUUUCCUAUUGUUAUUUAUUAUUUGAGACACUCUCCUCAUUUUCAUUAUUUUUAUAAGUAUCAGUUUCAAUGAUUAAUUACUGAUGUUGAUAUCAUAUCAGGCAGUACUUGGAUGACACUGAUAAGAAUACCUAAAGAAAAAACACAGGGAAAAUGGACAUCUUCAAUGGACGGAUUCACAAACCUCGUCCUAAAAGAAUUUGGCCACAUUCUCGGUCUUUAGCACGAAUGAGACAAAAACGCACGACACAAUUGAACCGUUGAUGCAUGGUCUCUUUUUGGAAUGACGUCAUUAGCCGCAUGCGUCAUUAUUACUUUUGUUCCCGAGGUAGUUCAGUUGGUGAUGUGACGUUCUGGUUUCCCGCGCCUGUUCUGAUCGUACCUUUUCGAUUGCCCUGUAACUUCAUCUUAUAAAUAGGAGAAAGGUUAGAAUCGAU